GGGUCCUUAGUUUAGUGGUAAAACGGCGGUCUCCAAAACCGCAGUCGGGCGUUCGAUUCGCUCAGGACCUGCCA
rnacentral:tRNA from 1 species